AUUUGACCUCAAAUCAGGUAGGAGUACCCGCUGAACUUAAGCAUAUCAAUAAGCGGAGGAAAAGAAAAUAACAAUGAUUCCCCUAGUAACUGCGAGUGAAGAGGGACAAGCUCAAAUUUUAAAUCUGUUAGGUUUACCUAACCGAGUUGUAAUUUGAAGAGGCGUUUUCUGUGUUUCUGAUCAGCCCAAGUCCUUUGGGAUAGGGCAUCAUGGAGGGUGAGAAUCCCGUUCGGUUGGUCAGAUUCGCUUUACGAUACGUCAUCUAAGAGUCAAGUUGUUUGGGAUUGCAGCUUAAAAUGGGAGGUAAAUUUCUCCUAAGGCUAAAUAACGGCGAGAGACCGAUAGCGAACAAGUACCGUGAGGGAAAGAUGAAAAGAACUUUGAAAAGAGAGUUAAACAGUACGUGAAAUUGUUGAAAGGGAAACGAUUGAAGCCAGUCGUACCUUCGGGUAAUCAGCCUUUCGGGUGCGAUUCUGUGGAGCGUGAGGAGUUAAACGCCUUCAUGCCUGCAUAUUCGUGCACUUUGGGUGUACUUGCCCGUGUGGUAGGUUAACAUCAAUUUCGGAUAUCAUAAAAUGGCUGGAGGAAUGUAGCUUCGGUCUCGUACUGAAGUGUUAUAGCCUCUGGUAGAUGUGAUGACCGGGAUUGAGGAUUGCAACGAAUACCUUUUGGGCUACCCGCCUGAUCUCUGAAAGUUGCUCUGGUGCCGAAAGCUUGCUUACGGUUAGCAAAGUUGACGUUCAAAAGGUUAGAACGGGUUAAAUUCGUUAAGGAUGUUGACGUAAUGGCUUUAAACGACCCGUCUUGAAACACGGACCAAGGAGUCUAACAUAUAUGCGAGUGUUC
rnacentral:rRNA from 1 species